rnacentral:tRNA from 2 species
CAGAAAAUAAUAUAAGUGAAUAUAUAAAUUUUGGGGAUUUAAAUUGGCUUAAUUAAAGUCUUUUCUGA